GAUGAACGCUGGCGGCGUGCCUAAUACAUGCAAGUCGAGCGAACAGACGAGGAGCUUGCUCCUCUGACGUUAGCGGCGGACGGGUGAGUAACACGUGGAUAACCUACCUAUAAGACUGGGAUAACUUCGGGAAACCGGAGCUAAUACCGGAUAACAUGUUGAACCGCAUGGUUCAACAGUGAAAGACGGUUUUGCUGUCACUUAUAGAUGGAUCCGCGCCGCAUUAGCUAGUUGGUAAGGUAACGGCUUACCAAGGCAACGAUGCGUAGCCGACCUGAGAGGGUGAUCGGCCACACUGGAACUGAGACACGGUCCAGACUCCUACGGGAGGCAGCAGUAGGGAAUCUUCCGCAAUGGGCGAAAGCCUGACGGAGCAACGCCGCGUGAGUGAAGAGGGUCUUCGGAUCGUAAAACUCUGUUAUUAGGGAAGAACAAAUGUGUAAGUAACUAUGCACGUCUUGACGGUACCUAAUCAGAAAGCCACGGCUAACUACGUG
rnacentral:rRNA from 1 species